rnacentral:lncRNA from 1 species
GCAGAAAGCACAAACUAAAGCACAGAGACCAAACAAGUUCAGAGGAUGUGGCUGUCACCCAGACACACACCACCUCAUCCAGCCACAGUGGCCACAGUCCUCAACUGGACAGCCCCUGUGUACCUGGGAUGCGGAGAGUGACCCAAGCCUCAAUCCUGGCCAGUGAGACUGCCCAUCGAGGUGGAAAUCAUCGUCUUAAUUACCAAGGCUCCCUGGCCACCGGAGGAGACACACAACACACAGCCUGCCUAAUGCGCCAGCAGCCGAGUUGGGGAGGUCCCUGGGAAAAAGGCCUAUGCUCC